rnacentral:lncRNA from 1 species
CCCAGAUCUUGUGUUCUUUCUCCAAAUCUCCUCCAUUUUUCUUGAGUUUUCACCUCACAUUGCAAGUUUUGAGCAUUUAAGACAAGUUUUGGAACUUUGGGAACUCAGGAGCUCAUUUGCUUGGAUCUCCGAGUUUAGGUCGCCUCUCUCUCGAUCAUCAAGAGGUAAGAGCCGAUCUUAAGCUCAUUAUAUGUUUUAAGUAAGUUUUAAGUUGUUUUAUAGGGUAGAAUGACAUGUUUAGGGUUGUAUGAGUUUUUGAGCAAAUGUUAUGUUUUUGAGCAAUGUGGCAUGUUUGAAGUGUUGUAGUUGGGGUAUUUGAUAGUUUGAGACCCCUAGGUGUGAUUUAUGAUAUGUAUGCAUGUUUUAGAACAAGUUUAUGCAUGAUUUGAGGUUUUGGGAGGCAAGAGGUUCAUUUGAACCAAGUUUCUGCCCAUUUGGGAGAAACCAGGUUCGGCAGCCGAAGGAACUUUCGGCCGCCGAACCCCCUUGUGGAGGCAGCAUUCGGCAGCCGAAGCUUGCCCCCGAAAAGAGACUUUCGUCUCUGUCUGGAAC